ensembl:lncRNA
GGCGUCACGGAGAGCCGGAGUUGCGUCCCGCAGCGUGCCUCGCGCUCUCAGACGCUCUCACGCCUCAGUGGGGCGGCCGCAGUUUGCAGCGCCUCCUCGGCGGAUCGUUGCAAACGUCCGUUCUCGCUGCUUCCCCAGCAGAGCACGUGCCCGGCCGCUGUGCUUCCCGCCCCCGACCCCCCGCAGGGCGGCUCGCUGAGCUUCCCGCGCAGCCCCACAGCGUUCCGCAUCCAAUCGCUGCUCGUCCUUUGCGCCUUGCAGCCUUUGUUUGCAGGGUCGCAGCCCGGAGCGGCUCCGCCAUUUCACGCGUGGCGCUCCGGGACGUGGCACGAAGCAGCGCUCGAGUCCGAUCCGAACAGAGCACUGCUAUGAUUUGAGGAUUUCAUCUGUGCCUUUGCUGCUUCCACACUGGAUCAAUACUGUUUACACAGAAGCAGCAUUAUAGGUCCUCGGUGAAGAGAUUUGACCAAGUAAGGAGUUCUGUCUGGCAGACAAAGACUUGCCAACAUUUGUGGUGAAAUAAUCUGCUCUGUUUGGAGACUGCAGGAAAAAUCCUUUCUGUACAGCUGAGAAUUUCGCACUUCAUAACACUGCACAGUUGACCUGCAGAAUGAGAUCACCGUGGCUGUUAGCAGCUGAAGUGCUUCUUUGUGCCUGGUGACCUCUGUUUCCACGUGCCCAGCUCCCAGAAGGUGUGACUUGCAUGGGAAAUCCUGUUCCACCCCAGGGAUACGGGCAGACAGAGUUUGUCAUUGCCAGGGAGAAAACGUGGCUGCGUGUGAACCACCAGGAGGACAGACGGACGCGUGCACGCCAGUGGCCGGACAGAAAUUUCAAGCAACAGUUCUUGGAAACCAUAUGGGGAUCAGCCUGGGAGUUCUGCAAGGUUGGCCUGUCAUUGGUGAAUUCAUAUGUCAUCGACAACAUGAAUUCUUCUGAACUUGGAAAGCUUUCAUUUGAAGAUGACCUUUCAUUUCAACAUACCUGCAGGAAGCUCUGGAAAGUCUGGGUCUGCCAUGUGCAAAACUACUUACUAGUGACAGCAAAAGCAAUUUUAGAAGAGAGACAGAAUGGGGAAGUGCUGCUGGGAAAAAUGGAAGGCUUCAGGAUGUUUUCUGAGAUUCUUGUAGUAAAUGGAAACCAAUGGAUUCCUUUGAACACUUCCACUGAACAGAAAGUGUGACCAGUUCCACCUGAGUAAUACCUGGGUCAUCCUCCACAUUAGAUGUGCACACAUAUAUUUAAAAUAAAAAAGUUACAGAACUACUCAGCACCAGAAGAAAGCAUAUGGCUGCACUAGAGGAAUUUUGGAUGUCUACCAAUGUUGCUUUUCAGGAAUACCUGUUGUUCAGCAAGGAGACAGGCACCAAGUAGCUCAGCUCCAUCUGAUGUGAUAGCUGUACCCUAUCCAGUCAUCACUUGAAACCCACCAGUGGCCAGGCCUGGAACUGGGCUUAUUAAGCCCAUUUUCAUCAAGGAGCUGUGGAUCAAACCAAAUGUGGUAGACUGCAUGAAAUCAGAUUUCUGUUGCUGAAGCCAAGGACUUUCAUAGGUGUUUCCUGAAGCAGUCUGCCUGAAAGCUAAUUUUCAACUCCAUCCUUUCAUGUGCUUUACGGGAGAUUAAGAUGAAAUUAGUGCAGGAAGGAUACUGCUCAAGAUCAUUUUAAGAUUUUCCAAGGCUCACCAGCUUGUUGACCUGUAAACCACCUUUAGCUGGACAGAUGACCCAAAGAGUGCAAACAUGCUCCAAGAAGAGAGAAGGGGAUGAGGAGAGAAGCCAAGCCACCAGCCCUGCGUCUGACUGUUGGAUUGGGAUUCAGGGCAGGAGUUAGGAUGCUUCACAUCCCAACAGCUGCACUCUGUCUUCAGGAUCUGAGAAACUGGACAAGACAACUGAAAAGGAAUCCAGUUGUUUAAGCUUCGGCUGCAAUUGUGUUUAUAUUUGUUUUGCUUGUAACCUUUUGUUUUCAGCCUUGCAACUAAAAGCC